UGGGGAAUAUUGCACAAUGGGCGCAAGCCUGAUGCAGCAACGCCGCGUGAACGAUGAAGGUCUUAGGAUCGUAAAGUUCUGUUGCAGGGGAAGAUAAUGACGGUACCCUGUGAGGAAGCCCCGGCUAACUACGUGCCAGCAGCCGCGGUAAUACGUAGGGGGCUAGCGUUAUCCGGAUUUACUGGGCGUAAAGGGUGCGUAGGUGGUCUUUCAAGUCGGUGGUUAAAGGCUACGGCUCAACCGUAGUUAGCCUCCGAAACUGGAAGACUUGAGUGCAGGAGAGGAAAGUGGAAUUCCCAGUGUAGCGGUGAAAUGCGUAGAUAUUGGGAGGAACACCAGUAGCGAAGGCGGCUUUCUGGACUGCAACUGACACUGAGGCACGAAAGCGUGGGUAGCAAACAGG
rnacentral:rRNA from 1 species